rnacentral:rRNA from 1 species
AUGCACGCUGGCGGCGUGCCUAAUCCCUGCAAGUCGAGCGCACAGACGAGGAGCUUGCUCCUCUGACGUUAGCGGCGGACGGGUGAGUAACACGUGGAUAACCUACCUAUAAGACUGGGAUAACUUCGGGAAACCGGAGCUAAUACCGGAUAAUAUAUUGAACCGCAUGGUUCAAUAGUGAAAGACGGUUUUGCUGUCACUUAUAGAUGGAUCCGCGCCGCAUUAGCUAGUUGGUAAGGUAACGGCUUACCAAGGCAACGAUGCGUAGCCGACCUGAGAGGGUGAUCGGCCACACUGGAACUGAGACACGGUCCAGACUCCUACGGGAGGCAGCAGUAGGGAAUCUUCCGCAAUGGGCGAAAGCCUGACGGAGCAACGCCGCGUGAGUGAUGAAGGUCUUCGGAUCGUAAAACUCUGUUAUUAGUGAAGAACAAAUGUGUAAGUAACUAUGCACGUCUUGACGGUACCUAAUCAGAAAGCCACGGCUAACUACGUG